CAUUAAUGUGAUAGGGUGCAAGUAUGCAUGUGUCUGUGUGAGUGCAUGACUAUGUGUAUAGGUGAUAUAUUGCAUGUUUCUUCUCACGAUAAAAGGGGGCAUGUUUGAAUGCUUGCAUGUAUCAUGUUCAGUAGAAACUACGGAUAUUUUAUUUGUUCACCUUGAUUGCUGUUUUGGAGCACUGUGCAUGAGACUGUAGUAAGAGGAGCAAUGCAAAGUGUUGUAGAGGAAUAGGUAAUGUUCGUUCUGUGACAUAUAAUGGCUUAUGGUCACCUACAACCACUAUUAAUGUUAAAGGAAUAACUCCCAUUUGUCGCCCAACACAUGAGCCAAUAGGUAAGUCUCAAUGUAGGGAGCUUGAAGGCCAAUGGCUGAGAUGAGGUGGCUUUGUACAGUGAUAAAGAGUUCCAGUACAUCUACUGCUUUAUCGAUUCCCUUGUACUGCAGGAUGAGCUAAUACUGUUAAAUGAGCAGGGUAUUUUUAAUAUGUGUUAAUUUGUAUGUGUUUAAUCAUUUCCCUCAUACAGGACAUUAAUAGGUUUCAUUAAAAUAGGUUGCCCAUGCCCUCAAACCUGGGUUAUACAUCCCUCUGAAAUAACCUAAUCCAUACCCACACCUUUGUUAUAACUGAUGUCAAUUUCCAUACGGAGAGAAUUAAAAAACACGGGCUUCAUUUGUGUUGUGGCAGUUAAUGAAUGUGAACAUUGCUUUAUCCUAAAAAAUGUUUUUGUUAAUAAGAUAGUGGAAAUUUAGGUGAACCAAAGUCAGGCUCACAUAUAUAUUAGUUGAAUGGGUUGUGAUGUAGACUUGCAUUUUAUUUAUUAUUUGCUAUUAGUGGAGAAGUAUUAGACUGCCAUUACCAAAAUAAUAGAGGGUUGUGAGUAGGUAGG